GAGGCUAUAGCUCAGUGGUAGAGUAUAUGCCUAGCAUGCACAAGGUCCUGGGUUCAAUCCCCAGUACCUCCA
rnacentral:tRNA from 1 species